rnacentral:rRNA from 1 species
UACGUAGGGGUGCAAGCGUUGUCCGGAAUUAUUGGGGCGUAAAGGGCUCGUAGGCGGUCCAUCGCGUCGGGAGUGAAAAAGCUGGGGCUCAACCCCAGUCCUGCUUCCGAUACGGGUGGACUAGAGGUAUGGCAGGGGAGAACGGAAUUCCUGGUGUAGCGGUGAAAUGCGCAGAUAUCAGGAGGAACACCGGUGGCGAAGGCGGUUCUCUGGGCAUUACCUGACGCUGAGGAGCGAAAGCGUGGGGAGCAAACAGG